CUCGUAGGUGGCCAACUAAGUCAGACGUGAAAUCCCUCGGCUUAACCGGGGAACUGCGUCUGAUACUGGAUGGCUUGAGUUUGGGAGAGGGACGCGGAAUUCCAGGUGUAGCGGCGAAAUGCGUAGAUAUCUGGAGGAACACCGGUGGCGAAGGCGGCGUCCUGGACCAACACUGACACUGAUGAGCGAAAGCCAGGGAGCAAACG
rnacentral:rRNA from 1 species